UGGAAAUAAUGCUUAGUCUCCAUGGUAAGUACGGAUAAGUAGGUUUGAGAAGGGUGAUUUUGGUAGUAAUAGAAGUCCUUAAAUGAUUAUAGUAUGUGUAUAAUAGUAUAUCGACCCCUUCUAAGAGCUUUAAGGUAAUCAGAAGUAAUGAUAGUAAUGAAAUAUUGAGGUUGGCUCAUAGUGAAGAAAAUGAAAGAUAGUAUAUGAGGUAUGAGUGGUAUAAAUAAAUCGAUUUAUUUCGAUUAGCAAAUAUAUGAAGGUAAUAUGCUUAUAUAGGAAGUUAGAAACAAGCCUCAGACUUAGGUUUGUAUGAUUAAUAAUUGUAUACAAUUCGAAUAAAAUUCGAUGAAUGAAACGCUAGUCAUGAUAUGUGCUAAGUACUGGUGUUAUAAAGUAAGAGGCACUAAUAAGAGCUCUGGAGCAGAAUCUAACAUAAGUAUUGUGAAUGAAUAACUUGAAAGGGUUAAGAGUAGAUUUGGUUUGGUUUGGUUCGAAUGAGAAAGGUUUCGGGGACGAAACCUCAUUUAAGGAGGGUAGACUUGUAACGCCCCAAAACUCGAGUCUAAAUAUUUUAUUUGGACAUUUUAUUAGGUUGGCAUGAGUAAGUAGGAUUUAUUGGUCAAGUGGGUUAUUUCACUAACAACCAAGUUAUCUAACUUGGUUAGAUAGUGUUGGCUAUAGAUUGAGAGUGGAAAACAAUGGGGCCAACUAUGUUUAAUUUACAAUCAUAAGGGACUAAUGUGGGUUAAAAGGAAAGUUGGGACAUUAUAAGAAAAUAACAACACACACAAACACACAUUCGUGUGUGUUCUACGUCGAUCAGAAGCUCCCAAAGGAGCCAAACCCUAGCUCAAGCUUAUUUGCUCAAAUUGAAAGGGGAAUUCAACCCAAAUCUAAUGCAUGUACCCGAAUUCUUAGUCAUCUAGCCCUAAAGAUCACUUGGAACCACACUAGCAUGGACCAAGCAUGGAAGGCUAGCGGGUCAAGAUGAGGCAAGCAAGCGGGUAUGAACACGGAUGCACAAGAUAUGUAGGUGCGUAUGAUCAGACGUAUGAAUAUAUGAAUGCACGAAGUAGGAUUUAUCGUCUAUGAAAAGAAUGGGACAGGUAUGCAUGUAUACAUGGUUUCAAUACGUUUGAGUAUGGACAUUACUAAUGAUGUGCUUGAGAUUGAAAUGUAAUGCAGGAAUGAGAACGUCAGACUCUUGUAGAAUUGAAGCCGAACCUUGAAGCCUAACUCGGAACAAAGGAAUCCGAGAGGAUAGUCGAAUGAAUCAAAGUUUAUGUUGUCGAAUGUUAUAUGAUUUUUAAUUUGUAUCAGAUUAUUGUUGUAUAACGUUGCCAAUGACUAAUGGUUAAGUUGUAUGUGGCGUCCACAGGUACUACACGGAUUUCUUCUGCUGCUAAGGAAGUGAAGCGGACGUAGAUCGAGUCAAGAGCAAGGAUUGUACGGAUAGAUCGGUCACAUAGUUGAAGUAUAUAAUGUCUAGAAAUCUAAAUUUUAGUAUGAAUGUUGUGAAUUCUUUUAUAGAACGUUUAACAUUUUUAGAAUUUGGAACCUUCGUGAAAGUAAUGUCGUUAAUAAGGAAAGAAAUUUUAAAGCUCUUUUUCCGCUGCGUCAUUUUUAAGGUUAAACAUGUUAGGGUGUA